rnacentral:rRNA from 1 species
UACGUAGGGUGCAAGCGUUAAUCGGAAUUACUGGGCGUAAAGCGUGCGCAGGCGGUUUUGUAAGUCUGACGUGAAAUCCCCGGGCUCAACCUGGGAAUUGCGUUGGAGACUGCAAGGCUAGAAUCUGGCAGAGGGGGGUAGAAUUCCACGUGUAGCGGUGAAAUGCGUAGAGAUGUGGAGGAACACCGAUGGCGAAGGCAGCCCCCUGGGUCAAGAUUGACGCUCAUGCACGAAAGCGUGGGGAGCGAACAGG